CAAUUUUGACAAAACAAGAAGGUGAAUAGUAGCAAAACUUCUAUUUUUUCACGACCAAUCACAAAGUUUAGUGUGAAGGUAUGUUUGACAAAGUCUGAUAUUUGCAAUGAAAACAUUUUCUUCGUACGAUAAAAUGUGUCAAAUUCCAUGGCCAUCUCUUGUUUUGAACAGUGAAAUCUCCGUAAAUACGACCAUUGUGAACAAUUUGUGAUAAUACCUAAAAUGUAAUAUAGCUAAUAUUAAUACAGCUACGGAAUGAUGAAAGGAACCCUAACGGUAGAUAAAAUGGCGAUAGCAGAUGGAAUAAAUGUUGCCAUUACAGAGCUUAUAACCUUAUAGACUUCUAAUAGACGUUGUGAGAAUGAUAUUACCCUUGUAAAAGCGUUAUAAAAACAUGCCGUAAUAAUUAUUCCCAUUUUUACGUCAAAACUACUCAAAUUCAAGGGCGCGUUGAUAUAAUUACACUUUUUGUACCACAUUUUAUCAUACGUUUGAAUUCCCACAAAGUUUUCUCAAUAAACAAGCACAAUAUACUCUCGGAUUCAGGUACACUAAGAAAAAUAAAUGAAAUUAAUCAUG